CCUACGGGGGGCAGCAGUGGGGAAUAUUGGGCAAUGGGCGCAAGCCUGACCCAGCAACGCCGCGUUAAGGAAGAAGGCUUUCGGGUUGUAAACUUCUUUUCUCAGGGACGAAGCAAGUGACGGUACCUGAGGAAUAAGCCACGGCUAACUACGUGCCAGCAGCCGCGGUAAGACGUAGUUGGCAAGCGUUAUCCGAAUUUACUGGGUGUAAAGGGCGUGUAGGCGGGAGUGCAAGUCAGAUGUGAAAACCACGGGCUCAACCUUUGGCCUCCAUUUGAAACUGUAGUUCUUGAGUACUGGAGAGGCAGACGGAAUGCCUAGUGUAGCGGGGAAAGGCGUAGAUAUUAGGAGGAACACCAGUGGCGAAGGCGGUCUGCUGGACAGCAACUGACGCUGAGGCGCGAAAGCGUGGGGAGCAAACAGGAUGAGAUACCCUUGUAGUC
rnacentral:rRNA from 1 species